rnacentral:rRNA from 1 species
GACGAACGCUGGCGGCGCGCCUAAUACAUGCAAGUCGAGCGAGAACUAGGGACUUCGGUCCUGGGGACAGCGGCGAACGGGUGCGUAACACGUGAGCAACCUGCCCGAAGACCGGGACAAGCCGGGGAAACCUGGUCUAAUACCGGAUGCCCUCACCUGCAUCGCAUGGUGUGGUGAGGAAAUGGAUUCCGCUUCGGGAUGGGCUCGCGGUCUAUCAGCUUGUUGGUGGGGAACGGCCCACCAAGGCGACGACGGAUAGCUGGUCUGAGAGGACGAUCAGCCACACUGGGACUGAGACACGGCCCAGACUCCUACGGGAGGCAGCAGUAGGGAAUCUUGCGCAAGUGGGGGAAACCCUGACGCAGCGACGCCGCGUGCGGGAU